rnacentral:misc_RNA from 1 species
GAUUGCCCUCCCCCUCCUGAGUUUCACACGCUUCGUGCAGGAGUAGAUGAUGAUGACAGUGAAGAAGAUGACAUGGAUGAUUAUGAUAGUGAGGAUGAAAUGGAUUGGGAUGGUGAGGAUGAGUUGGAUGAUUAUGGUGAUGAGUUUGAAGAUGGGAUCAUCAUUGUUGACAGUGACAACGAUGAUGAUGACAACAAAAGUAAGGCCACCAAAUCAGCUGCCAGCAACAAAGGCUUGAGAAAUAGAACUCAAAAAUAAAUCGACAGCCUCGAUUUUGGCAGUAGAA